rnacentral:rRNA from 1 species
GACGGACGCUGGCGGCUGGCUUAACCCAUGCAAUUCGACCGGAAAGGCCCCAGCUGGCGGGGGAACUCGGGUGGCAAACGGGGAGGAAACCCGUGGGGGUUCGGCCCUGCCCCCUGGGAAAAGCCGGGGAACCUGGGUUUAAAACCGGUUGGGCCCUGGCUUUAGGGUGGGCGGGGGAAGGUUUUUCGGUGCAGGAUGAGCCCGCGGCCUAUCAGCUUGUUGGUGGGGUAAUGGCCUACCAAGGCGGCGACGGGUAGCCGGCCUGAGAGGGUGUACGGCCACAUUGGGACUGAGACACGGCCCAGACUCCUACGGGAGGCAGCAGUGGGGAAUAUUGCACAAUGGGCGCAAGCCUGAUGCAGCGACGCCGCGUGGGGGAUGACGGCCUUCGGGUUGUAAACCCCUUUCGGCAGGGACGAAGCUUUUGUGACGGUACCUGCAUAAGAAGCACCGGCUAACUACGUG